CAAAGGUGGCCUAUGACGUAGAUCCUGUGUGCUGUUCUGCGGCGUGAGGUUGGGGCCAUCCCGUGAAGACCAAUGAAAUGAUGGCGUGACGGAGCCCAGGACGACCCUGAGGAUUUAAGUUUUCCCUCACUGGACAUAAUUUCUUAUCCUCCCCCGCUACGGAAAUUCUAGAGGACAGAAGCCAGGACAUUAUUUGUAAAGCUCGGGUGCAUCUGAAGGCUUCUUGUGAGUUUGUUUUGGUGCUUUCAUCGAUGAGAACUUUCUGUUGGUUACCGCUGCUCCCUUUCGGGUGUAGGGAGAACAGACUCCUACUUUGCAUUUUUAACUGACUACCUCACCCGCAAUGGUGAUGCUUGAGAACACCUCAUAGAGUUACUACAAAACCCACUGGUGCCGGGGGAGAGGCACAUGAGGAAGAUGCCACACUGUCUCCUGCGGUGUCUAAAUGGCCACACUGGAUGCUAUUUCUCUACACUGGGUGUGCUUGGAAAUACUUAGAAACACUGUCAAGUCAGCUGGGAGUGGUGGCAACCAUGUGAUCUCAGCUCUUGGGAGGUGGAGAAAGGAAGAUAACUUCCAGACCAUACUGGGCUACAAGAGAGACCCUUUUAAAUUUUAAUUAAUAUUUUUAAAGUAUGAAUACAGUAAAGGAUCGUGAAGACUUGACUCGCCAAUGAAUGAACAUGCAAAAUAGUGGAUUAAAGCAUUGUUAACACUC